UGCUGGGUGGUGUAGUGGUAACAUCUCCUCCACGAUGAGGAGGGUGCCGCAGGUUCGAAUCCUGCCCCGGCAA